rnacentral:rRNA from 1 species
UAGGGAAUCUUCCACAAUGGGCGAAAGCCUGAUGGAGCAACGCCGCGUGUGUGAUGAAGGCUUUCGGGUCGUAAAGCACUGUUGUAUGGGAAGAACAGCUGGAAUAGGAAAUGAUUUUAGUUUGACGGUACCAUACCAGAAAGGGCGGCUAAAUACGUGUCAG